AGCGAACGCUGGCGGCAGGCCUAACACAUGCAAGUCGAACGCCCGGGCAACCGGGAGUGGCAGACGGGUGAGUAACGCGUGGGAACAUGCCCUUUGGUUCGGAAUAACUCAGGGAAACUUGAGCUAAUACCGGAUAAGCCCUUAUGGGGAAAGAUUUAUCGCCGAAGGAUUGGCCCGCGUCCGAUUAGCUAGUUGGUGAGGUAAUGGCUCACCAAGGCGACGAUCGGUAGCUGGUCUGAGAGGAUGAUCAGCCACACUGGGACUGAGACACGGCCCAGACUCCUACGGGAGGCAGCCGUGGGGAAUAUUGGACAAUGGGCGCAAGCCUGAUCCAGCCAUGCCGCGUGAGUGAUGAAGGCCUUAGGGUUGUAAAGCUCUUUCGGCGGGGACGAUAAUGACGGUACCCGCAGAAGAAGCCCCGGCUAACUUCGUGCCAGCCGCCGCGGUAAAAC
rnacentral:rRNA from 1 species